CUCUAUUGGAGGUGAUACCUGCCCAAUGAUCCCACCUAACCUAAUUUAUUAGGGAACCUGGAUUUAAUGGCCGCGGUAUUUCUGACCGUGAUAAUGUAGCGAAAUCAAUCGUCAAUUAAUUGCUGACCGGUAUGAAAGGUAAAACGAGUGUUCCACUGUCUCCUAAGAAGGGGCUAUGAAAUUGUAGGGGCCGUGCAUAUACGGCCCAAUCUCUGUAAGACGAAAAGACCCUAUUGAGCUUUACUAUACUCUCCCUUUACAACAAGUUCUUUGUAUAACCUAAAAAAGACACUUACUCUAGGGAGAGGGGUAGUUUCGUUGGGGCGACGACCUUCCAAAAAGUAACGAAGGUUAGCUAAGGUAUUUAAUAGACACUUGCCUGACUGUAAGGGAUAUACCCCGCACAGACACUAUCGUGGGCCUAAGAAACCCACCCCGCACUUAUAUGUGGGGUGCCUAAAUAUAAAAGUUACCAUAGGGAUAACAGCGUAAUUUUAUUGAAGAGUUCUUAUCGAUAAUAAAGAUUGCGACCUCGAUGUUGAAUUGUGGUAUCCCGAGGGUGCAGCCGCUCUC
rnacentral:rRNA from 1 species